rnacentral:ncRNA from 1 species
UUGGGGGGUGCCAUUCCUAAAUGGCUGAGAACAUACCCAUAGAAUCUGAACCGGAUAAUGCCGGCGUAGAGAACAAAACUUA